rnacentral:rRNA from 1 species
GACGAACGCUGGCGGCGUGCUUAACACAUGCAAGUCGAACGGUGAUGCUCCAGCUUGCUGGAGUGGAUCAGUGGCGAACGGGUGAGUAACACGUGAGCAACCUGCCCCAGACUCUGGAAUAAGCGCUGGAAACGGCGUCUAAUACUGGAUACGAAACUGGCCCGCAUGGUCAUGGUUUGGAAAGUUUUUCGGUUUGGGAUGGGCUCGCGGCCUAUCAGCUUGUUGGUGAGGUAAUGGCUAACCAAGGCGACGACGUGUAGCCGGCCUGAGAGGGCGACCGGCCACACUGGGACUGAGACACGGCCCAGACUCCUACGGGAGGCAGAAGUGGGGAAUAUUGCACAAGGGGCGGAAGCCUGAUGCAGCGACGCCGCGUGAGGGAUGACGGCCUUCGGGUUGUAAACCUCUUUCAGCAGGGAAGAAGCGAAAGUGACGGUACCUGCAGAAGAAGCACCGGCUAACUACGUG